CCGUUUGGAGUUUUCCUGUAGGUUGGGUCCUAACUUCUCCUGUGAGCUCACUCUGUCCCUCCUCCUCCUCCCUUUGCCUUUCCUGGCAUUAUCCAUUCUCUUAAAGCAUUGCUUCUGGA
ensembl:misc_RNA